UACGUAGGUGACAAGCGUUGUCCGGAUUUACUGGACGUAAAGAGCGCGCAGGCGGUCGAUCAAGUCGAGUGUGAAAGCCCCCCGGCUCAACUGGGGAGGGUCACGCGAUACUGAUCGACUGGAAGGCAGGAGAGGGUAGUGGAAUUCCCGGUGUAGUGGUGAAAUGCGUAGAGAUCGGGGAGGAACACCAGUGGCGAAGGCGGCUCGCUGGGCCGGCCCUGACGCUGAGGCGCGAAGGCGUGGGGAGCGAACGGG
rnacentral:rRNA from 1 species